GAUUGGAGCGGCCGAUAUCAGAUUAGGUUGUUGGUGGGGUAAAAGCCCACCAAGCCGACGAUCUGUAGCUGGUCUGAGAGGACGACCAGCCACACUGGGACUGAGACACGGCCCAGACUCCUACGGGAGGCAGCUGUGGGGAAUUUUGGACAAUGGGCGCAAGCCUGAUCCAGCAAUGCCGCGUGCAGGAUGAAGGCCUUCGGUUGUAAAC
rnacentral:rRNA from 1 species